ensembl:lncRNA
CUUGACUUGUAUUAACUCAGUUAAUGAUCACAAAAGCCCUAUGACGCAGAUUCCAGCCAAAGAAAGCCCUCUAUCUAAAGAUAUAAGACGCAAAUACGGUAAAUCGGCAUUCUAAGUAACUGAAAGGAAGAAAAAGAUGAGAACUCACCUGGGAAGCCAUUGUGGAAACGCUGGUUGGAAGCACUGGUGUAAGCGUCUGUCAGAGUGGCCAACAGGAAUGCUGCAUACUGAAUGGUAGUCAAAAAGAUCCAAUAGGAAUGCUCCAUACUGAAUGGUAAUCUAAAAAGUCCAAUAGGAGUGCUGCAUACUACCUGGGUCAAAUCAAAGCAAUUGAAUGAUCUCUUGUAGAACUUUACUUGAAAAUCCUUAGUGACUGAAAAGAAGGCUGCUUAUUUGAGCUCAAAUAUCUGUUGUUAAAAUGGCCUCCCUGGCUCAGUGGUAAAGAAUCUGCCUGCAGUGUUCUGCAUGAUCACAGAAUGGAAGUUAGAGUUUACAAAAUGGGGGAAAAGUGAGUCUUCUUUCCUCUGUGUCUUCACACACACAUUUCUUUCUGGAGUCAAAUAUUUCACAGUGGCUUGCAUGUCCUUUCUCAAAAAUUUGAUACAUUUGAAAACAUUAUAAUCUUGCCUGUGGGUAUUUUUCCAUUGUACAGCAUACUAUAUCUACAUUUUGUGCACCAUGCUUGUUUUGUGUAAUAUCUUGGUGAACUCUGUCAUUAAGAAAUGAACCUCAGCGACUUCCCCAGUUGGCAAGUGGCUAAGAAUUCACCUUGCAAUGCAGGGGAUAUGGGUUCGAUCCUUGGUCAGGGAACUAAAGCCCCACAUGCUACGGGGCAACUACGCCCCUAUGGCACAUCUAGAUAGCCCAAGCGCCAUCAAGAAAGAUCAUGCUAGCCACAACUAAGAGCCAACAUAGGCAAAUAUUAAGAGAGAAAAAAAGAAGAGGACUUUCUAGAAUUUGAGGAAUCUAAAAAGUGUGAAAAAGGCUUUUCUGGUAGAGGAACAGCCUUUAGCCAAGGAUAAAAGGACACAGAUGCUUCAAGAAAGAGGAAGGAGGCCACUGUGGGUGGAGGGAAGAGAAGAGAGAGGAUGGUGGCCAGAUGGAACUCUGAUUCUCAGACCAUGGUCUGAAGAACUUUGAUCUAACGCGGUCUGUAUUCUGAGGACCAAAGUCACCUUACGGCUAAUGAUGAUGUUUCCCAUCUCUUAUGACAAACUCGCAUGGCUGUACAUCGACUCCUUACUGCAUGGACCUGCCUGAUGGAGCGAGGCUAGUUUCCUCCCAAGGUCCAGAGAAGUCACCAUGGGACCUACUGAUGUUCUCAAAAUCCUACGUUCAUUCUCCAGUCCCUCUUCAGGACUUUCCCCAGCCCCUGCAGGUCUUCUCGAACAGCUAAGACAAGGUCAUUGCAGAGUGAGGAUACCUUUUAAAUACCAGUUGGGAGUUCCCUGUUGCCUCCUCUACAGAAGAAGGCCAACAUGGCUCAUGCUAAGGUCCUGUGACUCAUAAGUGGGUGAAAGUAGGCAGCCUUGGGUUGAAUUCUGGUUGUGCUGCUCACUGACCCACAACCGGUUCCUUAUGUCUCAGAGUCUGUUUCUUCAACUGCCUGGCAAGCGUGAUGAUGACUACUGCACCCGCAUCCCAGCGUCUGCUGUGAGAGUUAGGGCAGUUGCUGGGCGUUGGGACCUGGCCCCUGAUUAACACAUAUCAGCCCUUAUAAUUGCAGUUUUCCACUGUCUGUUUCUUAUUUUCAUGCUCUGCUACUAUUUUCUUCCCUUCCUUCCCGAGACCCCCACGCCCAUCCCAUAUGCCUUUAUCCACGAUGACUCCAUUCCUACACAAGAGCUGAAACCUCCCCACAGAGUGCCUCUCCUUACUCUGUAAACCCUUCCUGAUGUCUCAAAGCCCAGGUCUGAGACUGCAGUGAGGAAUAAGCAACAUGGCACUUGUUCA